UUUGACAUAAUCCAAAACCAUCAGACACAAUAUCUUAUUGGCCUCAUAACUACGGUUCGACAACAUGUUACCUUUUAUAAGCAUUUCUUACAACAAUUCAAGCAAUUCAGUGAAAAUUUUAUCUGCCCACCCAUCUCUUGCCUUAAGAUUAAAUAGUCUUAACAUACUGAUAAUCUUGUAAAGCUUUUGCAUCUCGGAUACAACGACUCUUUCUUGUAUUUUUGCAAAGUACCUACCACAUUAGCAUUCUUGAAAGCAUCUACCCCAAUAUCAC
rnacentral:lncRNA from 1 species